CAGAAUCAAAUAUAAGAUAGUAUUUGGAUUUCUUUGAUUUAUUGACAUAUUCUCGUUUAGCUGGCUUCACGGAAUAUUUAGAAGAUGUUCAAGAACACAUUCCAAUCUGGAUUUCUUUUCAUUUUGUACAGCCUUGGAUAUGGGACAGAGAAGGUACGUGCUUUCUUGUUUGCAGUUACAUCAAGUGGUAAUAUUUUGGGAUUUGAAUGCUUCAGAGUGAGGGAUUGUGAUAAGAAACAUGCACAUGUAUAACAAAGUAUGAAGUUAUUACAAUCUUAAUUAUUCAUUUUCCAACCAAUGAUUGGACUUUAUUGUCUGAAAUACACCCCUUGUGAGAUCAAAUAUUCUGAGCUUGUUUUAAAUUCACUACUCUGCCUUGUAUUGUCUGAAAUUAUGACUGAAUGAUACUUAAUUCUUGUUUUCAGAAUUUUAUUUAUGGUUUAUGUCGUGAAGUAUUAAGAUUCCCA